CUUUUGCAAAAGGGAUAGUAGUGGCAUCCUUUUUUUAGUUGGGUAAAACUUAAAAAAGAUAUAACGAAUAGCCCGGCCCGUA
rnacentral:sRNA from 2 species